GACGAACGCUGGCGGCGUGCUUAACACAUGCAAGUCGAACGGAAAGGCCCUGCUUGCAGGGUACUCGAGUGGCGAACGGGUGAGUAACACGUGGGUGAUCUGCCCUGCACUUCGGGAUAAGCUUGGGAAACUGGGUCUAAUACCGGAUAGGAGCCAUCUUUAGUGUGGUGGUUGGAAAGUUUUUUCGGUGUAGGAUGAGCUCGCGGCCUAUCAGCUUGUUGGUGGGGUAAUGGCCUACCAAGGCGGCGACGGGUAGCCGGCCUGAGAGGGUGUACGGCCACAUUGGGACUGAGAGACGGCCCAGACUCCUACGGGAGGCAGCAGUGGGGAAUAUUGCACAAUGGGCGCAAGCCUGAUGCAGCGACGCCGCGUGGGGGAUGAAGGCCUUCGGGUUGUAAACUCCUUUCGCUAGGGACGAAGCUUUUUUGUGACGGUACCUAGAUAAGAAGCACCGGCUAACUACGUG
rnacentral:rRNA from 1 species